rnacentral:rRNA from 1 species
AACGUAGGAGACAAACGUUAUCCGGAGUUACUGGGCGUAAAGGGCGUGUAGGUGGUUUCGUAAGUCUGGCGUGAAAUAUCUCGGCUUAACCGAGGCAGGUCGUCGGAUACUGCGGAACUAGAGGACGGUAGAGGCGUGUGGAAUUCCGGGUGUAGUGGUGAAAUGCGUAGAGAUCCGGAGGAACACCAGUGGCGAAGGCGAACACGCUGGGCCGUACCUGACACUGAUGCGCGACAGCAUGGGGAGCAAACAGG